rnacentral:rRNA from 1 species
UACGUAGGGCGCGAGCGUUGUCCGGAAUCAUUGGGCGUAAAGAGCUCGUAGGCGGCCGGUUGCGUCUGCUGUGAAAUCCCGGGGCUUAACCCCGGGCGUGCAGUGGAUACGGGCUGGCUGGAGGCAGGCAGGGGAGAAUGGAAUUCCCGGUGUAGCGGUGAAAUGCGCAGAUAUCGGGAGGAACACCGGUGGCGAAGGCGGCUACCUGGACAGAGUCUGACGCUGAGGCACGAAAGCUAGGGGAGCAAACAGG